rnacentral:rRNA from 1 species
GAUGAACGCGGGCGGCGUGCUUAACACAUGCAAGUCGAACGGUGAAAGAGAGCUUGCUCUCCGGAUCAGUGGCGAACGGGUGAGUAACACGUGAGCAAUCUGCCCUUGACUCUGGGAUAAGCGCUGGAAACGGCGUCUAAUACCGGAUACGAGCUGCGAAGGCAUCUUCAGCAGCUGGAAAGAACUUCGGUCAAGGAUGAGCUCGCGGCCUAUCAGCUAGUUGGUGAGGUAACGGCUCACCAAGGCGUCGACGGGUAGCCGGCCUGAGAGGGUGACCGGCCACACUGGGACUGAGACACGGCCCAGACUCCUACGGGAGGCAGCAGUGGGGAAUAUUGCACAAUGGGCGCAAGCCUGAUGCAGCAACGCCGCGUGAGGGACGACGGCCUUCGGGUUGUAAACCUCUUUUAGCAGGGAAGAAGCGAAAGUGACGGUACCUGCAGAAAAAGCACCGGCUAACUACGUGCCAGCCGCCGCCGUAAGAC